CCAUACUACUCAAAAAAUUUGGUUUCGGCCUGGAGGGGGAUGUGUCACGAGAAAAAUCUUAUUUCUCUGGACUUUAAUUAUGCUUUCAAUUAGGCAUUAUUUGGUGCCCACACACUUCUCUAUAAUGUAUUAAUCUUAAGUUUCAUCCUUUUCUAUCAGCUCAAUAAUACAUCCUAGCAUUCUCAUUUUUGCAAGAUGCAUUAGUUGUUCUUUUUUUAAUUAUAGUCUAUCUUAUGGAGAACUUAUAGAUCGGUCCGUUCACUUUCAUUUAAGUUUUUCCAUAAAAAAGUACACCAAAAUAUGCAUAGGUAUGUUUCAUCAAACUUGCUGUAACUCUAUAACACGCAUUUACAUAUUUAUCCCCAUUUCAUUAUAUUGCUGAUCAUUAAUACUGUCUAAAACUGUUACUUGUUAAAAUAAUAGUGUAAAAAAUGACUUAAAAAUGUUGUUGACGCCGAGCAUCGAACUCCAGAUUAUAAUGCCAGUAUCUUGGACACUGAGCUAAGGCAGCCACUCUGGUAAGGAUAUCUCUAAUGUUUAGGAAAGUUCUUGUGGCCUGGUGGUAGAAUUCUCUGGUCCUCUUCGUGGCCAUCUCCCUUACUAGUGUGUAUUGGAGCCUUCUCUGCCAUGCCAUGGUGAUCCCUCUAUUUUUAUGUAACACGCCGUCUCUAUUAUGAGCUUCUUAUAGUUGGUUGCUGUCGAGGAAUUCCAUACUUUUACUGCAGAUAAGAUCGCCGCUCUAACGUAUGACAUGGUUAGGUUUGGUAUAACUCGAUCUUCUUGAACUGUAAGAUACAGCUAAAUAUGUUCCUAUUAUAUCAAUCUUUUCCGGUUGAUGCCUUAAUUUUAAUUGAUUCUGUGUUUCUAUUAAAGUUGAAAUUCCUAUCAAGAUGGAUUCGUAAGUAUUUGUUCACAUCUUCUUCGUGGAUUUGAACCUGGAAAGUUUACAUAUUUCAGCAAAAGCUUUGCUGUCGUUUUGAUAGCGCAGGAGCACAAUUCGUCAAACCUUCCGUGGUUGAAACGGUACCAAGAGGGUUAUAACGUUAUUUCAGCAUCCCUGCUUCGUCAGAUACUCAAGCUGAUACAAAUUCACACCACACACAGAACGGCUAACGAAUGUCUCCUGAUUAUUUCAUAGUUUCUGGUUAUAGUACCAAGGAGCCAUCUACUUUGAUGGUAAUAAACGAAACACGAUUUGAUAAUAUCGUUUUCUGUCCUUUGCGCUAUACGAAAGUUGCAAAAGUUUAGAGAUUGAAAAGCUUUACUAUGGCUUUGAUGAUUUGAACAAGCACAGAAUAUUAUAUAGCUCAGGAGCAAUAUUCGUCAAACCUUAUGAGUUUGAAUUGGCAUCAAUAGAGUGUUAUAAUUCUACUAACAUUAACGAAUAUGAACGUUAAUUAACUUUGUAUGAUAACCACUGGAAGUGGGAAAUAACCAGGAGAUAUUCGUUGACCAUUUUAUGUCUGGAUUUGUAUCAGCCCAAGUGGCUGACGAAGCAGGGAUUACAAAAAUAACGUUGUAACACUCUAUUGAUACUGAAUUGUUUGACGAAUUUAUUGUACUUCUGCGCAAUAUAAUUUGGCUUUUAAAAUCUGUAGUAUUUGUGAUUUGACUGUCUUCUACUGAGUUAGGUCUGUUGCGCGAUUAAUUUUCUGUAUGAUUCUGAGUACAGUGGAACCUCGAUAACUCGGAUUAAUCGGGACCGCGACCGAUCCGGGUUAUCGAAAAUCCGAGAUAGCCGGAGAAUAUGGUAAAAAUUAAUAAAAUACGGUAUACUUACAGAUAAACUCCGUUAGAAUUGAAAUAACAUGAAAUAUAUUUAUAAAUAUGCACAGUACCUGCCUACUCAUUAAAAUUACUAAAAAAAAACACCAAACCCAAACGUAAGCAAGUGGAAGCGAACAAUACAAGACACACAAUACUAAAGACCAUUGUUUAUAAAAGAAUUUUUUAAAUAGUCUUUCCUAAACAAUGCUAAGACAGUUUGAAAUAAAAAGGAAUAUAUACUACAGACAGGUGGCUGUUGUUUCUGCGGCGUGUGCUAUGAGUCAUUUUUAUUAUCGUAUAGUUCAAAUUACACACAUAAGUACACAUUAUCUCUCAAAUAUUAUAUUACAUACAUUUUUAUUGUUGAAAGGUUUGUCUGAUAAUUAACUACUUUGAUGGGAAAUAAGCCACAAUUAAAUUGAAAAAUAAUUUUAUUAACGUUUCGCGACGCCCAAAUCGGGUCGUUGUCAAAAUACAAAAUAUUGAAAAUCAAAAUGUUUAUCUGAUGAAAAUCGGUCCGGGUUAGCCGGACUUCCGGGUUAUCGGGGCCGACUUAUCGGGGUUCCACUGUACUUAUCAUUUUGGUUUCAAUUCGCUCAUUUUUUUUUGAGGGAAAAAAUUAUUAUAGUUUUAUAUAGUCACAGUUUAUUAAAAUACUGAAAUAUAUUUUGUUGAUAUCCUAUAUAGGUAGUUCUAUUUUUAUUUAGAUAUAAAUCUUAUUUUUAAAAUAGUAGUAGAUAAUAACACAGAUAAAAACAAAUACCAAACGUUAAAUAUGAACGAUAUAGGUCUUUUGACGUUCACGAACUUUAAGUGAAACCAUAGUUGUCUUUUUAUCUUCUCUUUUACUCUUGACUCAUUCUGCAUUUGCUAGAUACUCGCUGUUACCCAUGUAUUUAACGUUUGUGUGAUUAUUAUUCUUUUCAGAUUUUUAUUCUUCAUUAUUAAUUUCUAUACAAUUGAUACUAACAAUGGAUUGUUAUAUACACUGCGCGUCACAGAAAACGGGCACCCCAAAGAAUGGGUCAUUUUUGAUGACCCGUAUCUCCUAAACCUGUUGUCCGACUUAAGUAAUUUUUUUAAUAACUUAUAGCUUUAUUCUUUGAGAAUAUCGCUGUAGCAAUAUUGUUGAUAAACAGGUAAAUUUUCAUUGUAUACUGGGUGUACGAAUCAAACUGUGUUUUUUUCUCAAAGUUUACAACACCCUGUAGAAUAUUCUAGCAUUUAGAAAAUAUUGAAAUUAAAACCCAACUAUAGCCUCAGGUCUUCUUAACAUUUUGUUUUUUGACUCAUCCGCUUAUGUUGGUCAAUACAACAGUUAGGUACUUUAACAACUAGCUCUGUUCUUCAUCAGUACAGGCUGUUUCUAAAUAAGUGCGACAAACCUCAAUGGGUAAUUCUGCAUUAAAAAAUAAUGACAGUUUGCUCUAUAAUUGUAUGUCUGCAAAUGCUUCGUUUUCGAGAUACGGGAUGUUGAAUUUUAUCUUACAAACUGACGAUUUAUUUAUUGCUUUAAAACCGGUUGAGAUAUGCUAAUGAAAUUUGGUGGUUUUUAAGACGUAGUUAUUGUACAUUUUUUGACAUACAAUUAAGAAUUUUAUAUUCACCAUUGGCGUGCAUACAGGUGAUAUGAUCGGUCAUAUUACCCGUAUGCGCGCCAAUGGUAAAUAUUAAAUUCUUAAUUACAUGUCAAAAUAUGCACAAUAACUUGCUCUUAAAACCUACCAACUUUCAUUUGCAUAUCUCAACCGGUUUUAGGGCAAUAAAUAAAUCGUCAGUUUGUAAGAAAAAAUUCAACCACCCUAUCUUGGAAACGAAGCAUUUGUGGACAUAUGAUUAUAGAGCAAACUGUCAUUAUUUUUUAAUGCAGUAUUACCCCUUAAGAUUUGUCGCACUUAUUUAGAAACACCCUGUACUGAUGAAGAACAUGGCUAGCUGUUAAAGUAUCUAACUUUUGUAUUAUCCAACAUAAGCGAAUGAAUCAAAAAACAAAAUGUUAAGAAAACCUGAGGAUAUAGUUGGGUUUUAAUUUCAGUAUUUUAUAAAUGCUAGAAUAUUCCACAGGGUGUUGCAAACUUUGAGAAAAAAACAGUUUGAUUCGUACACCCGGUAUACAAUGAAAAUUUACCGGUUUAGAAACAAUAUUAUUACAGCGAUAUUCUUAAAAAAUAAUGCUAUAAGUUAUUAAACAAAUUACUUAUAUCGGACAACAGGUUUAGGAGAUACGAGUCAUCAAAAAUGACCCAUUUUUUGGGGUGCCCGUUUUCUGUGACGCCCAGUGUAUAAACAUUCUUGUUUGGUUUUAAAUAGUGUCUUUUUUAUGCAGUUCCAUAUAUUUAAUAUUCUUUUUGAAAAGGCUUCCCAUUUAUUGUUAGUUUUGUUUGUUAAAAUAUUUUGCUGAUAUGUCAUUGCUGUCAAUGUUCACUGUCACUGUCAGAUGUUACUUCGCCUUGAUUUUUCAAUUUCGUACUCUUAACACUCGUAAGUCGUCUUUCAGUAAGUCCUGGUCCUGAAAUCGUGCUCUGGGCCUAUACCAUAGAAAUAGACUAUAGCGUACCAUACAUCUUUAUUUACCCGUUUCCGUCAAAGUUUCCCAAUUUUGUAUAUUUGGUAUUUGUUUUCUAUAUUUUGCGUUUGGUGUAAUUGCUAAGUAUAGAUAUAAGUUACUGUUAAGGCCUUCACAUAAAAAACUAAUCAUCUACCCUUUUAUCUACCCUAUUUAGUUAUCUAAUGUUAAUCACUAACCUCUGAUCUGUAUUUUGCUGCUUUUGCUUUUUUGCUAUUAAUUAACAAAAGUACAAAAUAUUGUUUACCAAAUUAAUUUAGUUAUUGGUUAAGUUUUAAUGUUUUUUUAAUAUUGUAAUGUUAUUUUAAGAUUUCAUUUGUAAUGAUUGGGAAUAAAACGUAGAAAAUA